GACGAACGCUGGCGGCGUGCCUAAUACAUGCAGGUUGAGCGCUGAAGGUUGGUACUUGUACCAACUGGAUGAGCAGCGAACGGGUGAGUAACGCGUGGGGAAUCUGCCUUUGAGCGGGGGACAACAUUUGGAAACGAAUGCUAAUACCGCAUAAAAACUUUAAACACAAGUUUUAAGUUUGAAAGAUGCAAUUGCAUCGCUCAAAGAUGAUCCCGCGUUGUAUUAGCUAGUUGGUGAGGUAAAGGCUCACCAAGGCGAUGAUACAUAGCCGACCUGAGAGGGUGAUCGGCCACAUUGGGACUGAGACACGGCCCAAACUCCUACGGGAGGCAGCAGUAGGGAAUCUUCGGCAAUGGACGAAAGUCUGACCGAGCAACGCCGCGUGAGUGAAGAAGGUUUUCGGAUCGUAAAACUCUGUUGGUAGAGAAGAACGUUGGUGAGAGUGGAAAGCUCAUCAAGUGACGGUAACUACCCAGAAAGGGACGGCUAACUACGUG
rnacentral:rRNA from 1 species